rnacentral:lncRNA from 1 species
GUGUGUAGAAGGAGGAAGGUUGGAUUUGCUUAGGGGUAUCGCAUCAGCUGAUCUGACCAGGUCACCGAGACCCCUUAGGGAAAGUCCGGGGUAGUUUCUGAGGGGGGGGGGUGUUUAAGAAGUUGUCAGAGUGUCUGAAUAAGACUUGUCAAUGAGUGAAUAAUGGUUAGGAGACCCAAGUCUAUUUGAGUUUAUGACUGGGUGCAAAGGACUGUGAGUUGGGAGAGACGGUGCACAAUAGGCGUAUGGCAUCCAGGGUCUCCGUGUGUGAGUUGGCCUGGAAGAUUGUGGAAAGGAGAAACACGCAACCACGUGAUGGAUGAGACCGUGUGAUGUGGCUGCCUGAGACUGAAUGUGGGAAAGGUCGUGUGGGUGUUAAGAUUGUGUUGUUUUCUAGAGGGUGAAAAUAUUUGUGACCCUGACAAACACAGUGGAAUGUUGUCUGCUUUAAGGCUGGUGUAGGUUUAGACUGUAGGUUUGGAUCGCUUAUCCCAGCGAUUGGUGGGGCCAGAGGCCGCACCCCUCCGAGCAAUGACCUCUUCUAGCAAAUGACUCGGAGGGCAAGUUGUGGAGCACAGAUCCGCGCCAGCGGCAGGCCUGGGCUUGCGGGCCAGGGCCCAGUGCUGGGGAGUGAAGUGGGUGACCCCCACAGUGGGGAGCGACUGGUGUGUCAUCAGAACUGGCCGCCAGGUGGCGCCGCCUUUGCAAAUCCAAGUGUGCCGCCUCCAACCCGUUGGGGGUGGGGCAGGCAGCGACCGGGCCUCGGCCCCGACUUGUGCCCAGGCUCCGGGCGCUGGUAGUUGAAGGCGGGCAACUAGCCCUCGGCCUCUUGUCUGGACUAAGAAGCUGGAGAGUGUCUGGGGCGGGGGGAG